UUGGUGGCUAGUGCUAUGGCUGGGACCCUAUAUGUACUGUUGAUGAAGUUAGGUGCUGUUCUGAGUAUUAUUUGUGGCUAUAGAGUAGUUUUUGGUUGAGGUUUGUUUGUGGCUCAUCAGAUCGCUGUGUAUUGCUUAUCCUGCGGAUGUUACUCAAGUUGGUAUAGCUAGAGAAGCAAGCGGUUGGCAACAUUCAUAGUUCGAGGGGGUGUCUAACUCAGUGUUAUGGUGUGUUUGACUCAAAUUAAUGUUACACCGGAAUAUCCCUUUAAAAUGCCUUCUCAUGACUGUGCUGCUGGGCCUGUGAUAUGCCUUUACACCAAUGUAAAUGUCACAGAAUCAUAGUUUUGCUUCUUAACUGGUAUCAGAGCCAUAGGCACGAUAGACCAGACACAGGGAACUGUCAAUGUGAAGGCCAAAGUUGGCAGUAUGGAGCAGCGCUGUUUGUGUGUGAGGAACUUGUUCUUUAGCGAAGCUGCCUGUCAACCUUGUGCAACACUGUAACAAGAGACCCUUACAUGAUGUAAUCCUCUAACUCUGCUAUAAAGAAGUCUAACAAUCAUUGCACUUCUGUACUUAAACCUUGCAGUGUGAUAUUGACCCUGCAGCAUUAGAGACAGCUUGUCGUAACACAGCAAGAGCUCCACAUAUACAAUCAGACAUGCAAAUGCAUACAGUGCUGUUCCGCCCUGCUGGCUCAUCUGUAACACAUUGCCACCAUUUUUUUUCACCACUCCUUGGCUUCAGUGUAAAAGUACAAAGGCCCAGUGACAGUGAAGCUUUAUUAUGGCACUGCAGCAGAAUCUAGAAAGGGGCUGUGAUUAAACUACCACUGUAUGGUGACAUUACAAACAAGAAAAUGUUACAAAGCUCCAUCUGAGAUGACCUUUCAUUGUUAAAAAUGGGAUAAAGUGGGCAUGAGGAUACAUUUAUUGUGGAGAAAAUAAGUAACUACUAACGGUAACUACUUUAAUGUGGAAAAUGUCCCAGUUUUCCAUAAAAGCAAAAUAAAGAUGUCACGUAAAUUUGCCAUGUUUUAGUAUCAUUUCGUUUUCACCUCAUUUUCAUACAGAUUGGUCCUGAAAUUUAUUGCGGCAUAAGUGACCGAGGAAAAUAAUCCUCAAUCGUCAGUAUAUUUGUUCUUGAUACGAGGCUUCAGCAGUCUCAAAGAGAGAGCGAGAGAUAAUUUUAACCAACAGAAAUUCAAUGUCAAACUCAGACUGAUGAAGCUUUGGGUUAGUUUUAGAUAGACUCACAAAUCUUUUUGAAAAUGCGUCAAGAAGGGCCAGUACACAAAAGGCAUGAUAAAUCCUCCUCUGUUAUUCAUGCAGGCUACGGUUAUUGUUUCAAUAAAGACAGUAAAUAAAUUCCGUGUCCAAACACACAUGAGGAGUUUUCUAUUCUGCUGUUCAUGAUGAAAAUUUACAGUAAGGCAUAUAGAGAGAUAAUCACCUUGGGAGGUAUAUUGAAAUAAACACAGUCAGUUCGAGGGAUGAAUUGCCUGUGUGUUCUGUUGAAUGGAGUCUUUAAUUAAGCAUCUGAAAUUUGCUAAGAAGAUUAAGGAUUAAGAUGUAAAUUCUUCACUGCUUAUGGCACAUAAUCCUGACAUGGAGAACAAUGCUGUACAGCAGAUGACUCCAAAUGGGUCUUGUUUACACACAUGCUAUUUUGACUAUGGGCUGAUUGAUAGCCGAUGUCAUUACAAACACGCACAGGCAUCUCAGCAGUCGCGUUUUAUUCCAUUCAUCCCAGAGAGGAAAUUAGUGAGUUGAUGCUGUCAUCAACAAUAGUAUGUUUGAUUGAUGCAUAAUUGGUUGUCAGAACCAACAUCCCAAGUGACAGUUAAUUAUAUAUUUUAGACCAUGAUCCAUCCGCUAAUGAACCAAAUCAGCAAAUGAGGAUUUAUUAAAACUUUUCAAUCCUGUAGUAUUUUUUCACAGCGUCAAAUUUAAAUACUCAAGUUUCAGUUUUGCAAAACUUGAUGCUCCUUUUCAAGAAAAAAAAAAUCAGUGUAGCAGUACUGAAUAUAGGUCUCUUGCGCUACAGUGGAAGACCUUGCAAGAAAUAAUAAAAAAGAAAGAUUAAAGAGCAGCCCACCUCACUUACUGUAUACUCAAAGGUCUGUGUGAGUCAUGUUCAGUCUGAUAAAUCCUGACCUUUGCAGAACUCACAAUGUUCCCUGGAUGCAGAGAAUUUACUGUGAUGAUGGAAAAGUUCCAUUAUGUUCAAAGAGGAAAGGUAAAUGCAUGUUCAAGGACAAAAGCAAUAUAAAUUAUAAUGAAUUAUGAAUUAUAGUACGACAGAGGAAUGUCUUAGUGGAAACACACUUUACCGUUCGUGAGUACUAUAAUGAUCACUUUCCACUGUUGCCUGGAUGACAAAGCCAGUUCAGGGGCAAGCUAUGUUUAAUGUAGAAUGGAGGGAUAUUCAGUAUUCACAUUAUAUAUAAUAUUACAGAAGUGAUCACAAAAACACCUUUACUUACUUACAAAGAGGGGGAAACGGUUUUAAAGUUCUCAUAUGACAAGUGUAUGGAUAUCUACACUCACAGAAACAGGCUAAAUUUAUAACUUAAGAAUAUGGUUUCCG